UACGUAGGCACCAAGCGUUGUCCGGAUUUAUUGGGCGUAAAGAGCUCGUAGGCGGUCUGUCGCGUCGAUCGUGAAAACUUGGGGCUUAACCCUGAGCUUGCGGUCGAUACGGACAUGACUGGAGUUCGGCAGGGGAGACUGGAAUUCCUGGUGUAGCGGUGAAAUGCGCAGAUAUCAGGAGGAACACCGGUGGCGAAGGCGGGUCUCUGGGCCGAUACUGACGCUGAGGAGCGAAAGCGUGGGGAGCGAACAGG
rnacentral:rRNA from 1 species